rnacentral:rRNA from 1 species
CAGCCGCCACGGUAAUACGUAGGGUGCGAACGUUAAUCGGAAUUACUGGGCGUAAAGCGUGCGCAGGCGGUUGUGUAAGACAGGUGUGAAAUCCCCGGGCUUAACCUGGGAACUGCGCUUGUGACUGCACAGCUAGAGUAUGGCAGAGGGGGGUGGAAUUCCACGUGUAGCAGUGAAAUGCGUAGAGAUGUGGAGGAACACCGAUGGCGAAGGCAGCCCCCUGGGCCAAUACUGACGCUCAUGCACGAAAGCGUGGGGAGCAAACAGGAUUAGAUACCCCCGUAGUCCCUGUCUCUUAUAC